ACAUGGAGUAAUAGACGAUGAAGAUUCUGAGAUUCCUGGAGAUUUCUCCGGCUUUGGAUUUUAGUUGAUCGGGAAUUGGAAUUGGAAUUGGAAUUGGAUUUGUAUCGGAGACGGUUACCAAUGGUCCGUUCUUGCUAGAGAUCAGUUCUUCGUGGGAAAUCUCGUCCCAAUCCUCGUGGAAAAUUUCACAAGGAAUGAAAUGAGCAAUGAGAUCAGAACAAAGAAAGGCAUCCCAACCUGGCUCGGUGGACAUCUCUAAUUGGUAGUUAGGAAUCUCGCUUGGACUUAAAAAAAGAAAUUGAUGCAACAAAUUUGGGUAUAAAAUAGGAACAAAGGAAAUAAAUAAUACCUUUAAUUGGAAUGUACAGUUUGUAUACACCUGUUGAUAUUGUUGUCACUUUUUGUUUAAAUAACAAAAUUAUAUGAAUUAGUUA